AACCGAAACCGAAUGGACCCAACCGAUAACCGAAAGCCGAGGCCAAAAAAAAAUGAUGAAACCAAAUUAUAGAUCUGCCACAAUAAAACAUUUCUCGGCACAAAAAAAAAAAAAAGGAAAAAAAAAAGAAUUCGUAACCCGAUGAAUGACGAACUUGUUUAUCUUCAAGCUCUCACCGAUUAUACCACCAAAACGCGAUUUUUUUUUCUGUUUGAACUACAUGAUCCGAUUGUAAUCGGUUAUACAUGUUCAUAGCUUGGCCAGUUGCUCGGAUUUGAAUCUAAUUUUGGGUCAAACCAUUUGAGCUUUAGUGUAUGAUCCUAUGAGGAAGGAAGUUUAUGUGGUUCGUAAGAAGAUUGAUAGUGUUAACAAAGAACUCAAACCCUUUAGGUUCCACUGUUCAAAAGAAGAAUCUUAAUUUGGACUUGUCAUGCAAUAUUGUAAAGCCGCUUCUAAGAUAGUCAAAAGAAACAACCAUGGAGAUAUUGAAAAGCUUUCUUCAUGGAUGUAAAAGGGAAAUCUUCUCAAAAGAUACAUUAACGACGAUUGACGAAAAUUUAGGAAUAUUCGAACUCAAGAUUUGCGGUUUUAUCACAGAUUUUUUUUAGGAAA